GCCACCGUAGCUCAAUUGGCAGAGCAUACGCUUCGUAAGCGUGAGGUUAUGGGUUCAAGUCCCAUCGGUGGCUCAA
rnacentral:tRNA from 1 species